UACGCAGGGUGCAAGCGUUGUCCGGAUUUAUUGGGCGUAAAGAGCUCGUAGGCGGUCUGUCGCGUCGGAUGUGAAAACCCAGGGCUCAACCCUGGGCCUGCAUUCGAUACGGGCAGACUAGAGUGUGGCAGGGGAGACUGGAAUUCCUGGUGUAGCGGUGAAAUGCGCAGAUAUCAGGAGGAACACCGGUGGCGAAGGCGGGUCUCUGGGCCAAUACUGACGCUGAGGAGCGAAAGCGUGGGGAGCGAACAGG
rnacentral:rRNA from 1 species